AGGAGUUUGAUCCUGGCUCAGAAUGAACGCUGGCGGCGUGCCUAACACAUGCAAGUCGAACGGGAAAACCCUUCGGGGUGAGUAUAGUGGCGAACGGGUGAGUAACGCGUAAGAAUCUGCCCCUAAGUGAGGAAUACUCUCGAGAAAUCGGGGUUAAUACCACAUACGUCCCUUCGGGGAGAAAGGUGGCCUCUUGCUACCGCUGAGGGAUGAGCUUGCGUACUAUUAGCUUGUUGGUGAGGUAAUGGCUCACCAAGGCUUUGAUGGUUAACCGGCCUGAGAGGGUGAACGGUCACAUUGGGACUGAGAUACGGCCCAGACUCCUACGGGAGGCAGCAGUGGGGAAUUUUGCACAAUGGACGAAAGUCUGAUGCAGCGACGCCGCGUGGAGGAUGACGGUUUUCGGAUUGUAAACUCCUGUUAAGUGGGAAGAAAGACGUACGGUUAAUACCCGUACGGGAUGACGGUACCACUAGAGAAAGCUCCGGCUAACUUCGUGCCAGCAGCCGCGGUAAUACGAGGGGAGCAAGCGUUAUUCGGAAUCAUUGGGCGUAAAGGGCGCGUAGGCGGCCCGCUAAGUCAGUUGUUAAAGACUACGGCUCAACCGUGGGGAUGCGACUGAUACUGGUGGGCUAGAGAGCAAAAGAGAGAAGUGGAAUUCUCGGAGUAGCGGUAAAAUGUGUAGAUCUCGAGAGGAAC
rnacentral:rRNA from 1 species